rnacentral:rRNA from 1 species
GUGCCAGCCGCCGCGGUAACACGGGAGGCCCGAGUGGUGCCCGCGAUUACUGGGCUUAAAGCGUCCGUAGCCGGUCCAGUAAGUCCUUGGUGAAAGCCCUCGGCUCAACCGAGGGAAGUGCCAAGGAUACUGCUGGUCUAGGGAGCGGGAGAGGCGAGGGGUACUCCAGGGGUAGCGGUGAAAUGCGUUGAUCCUUGGGGGACCACCGGUAGCGAAGGCGCCUCGCUGGAACGCGUCCGACGGUGAGGGACGAAGGCCAGGGGAGCGACCCGGAUUAGAUACCCGGUUAGUCC